rnacentral:rRNA from 14 species
UAGAACAAGAAAAAGAAGAAGAAGAAGAAGAAGAAGAAGGGAGUAAAAAGAAACCGAAACUCAUUAAAGACGAAACGCUCGCGGACGCGUACAAGCGCUGUUUCAAUGAAUGUCUUCCACCAAAAAGCGGCACGACGUGAUGAUGGAAUUUAUCCAAUAAUAAUAGAGUAGUAGUUUGUAGUAGUAGUUUAUAUAGUGUAAAAGUAUAAAUAGUACUAAGGUAUUCAGUAUCUUAACAGCUAAUCCUAAAAUAUA